UAGCGGAGGAAAAGGAAACCAACAGGGAUUGCUCUAGUAACGGCGAGUGAACAAGCAAAAGCUCAGUUUUGAAAGCCUACUUUGUAGGCAUUGUAUUCUGAAGCCUAGAUUCUGGGAAACGGUGUUUAAGUCUUCUGGAAAGGAGCGCCACGGAGGGUGAUAGCCCCGUACGGCACUGACCCCAUUGUAGUUUCUAGGCGUGGAGUCGAGUUGUUUGGGAAUGCAGCUCAAAUGGGAGGUAUGCUCCUUCUAAAGCUAAAUAUUUGCGAGAGACCGAUAGCGAACAAGUACUGUGAAGGAAAGAUGAAAAGAACUUUGAAAAGAGAGUGAAAUAGGACGUGAAAUUGUUGAAAUGGAAGGGUAGGCUGCUAACCAUGUAGGACCGUGUCUGAGGGGAAGAUAAAAGCUACCGGAAUGUGACCUCUUCGGAAGUGUUAUAGCCCGUGGUCCAAUGUUCCCCACUUAGGCCGCGAGGAUCUCCAGGUUCUA
rnacentral:rRNA from 1 species